rnacentral:piRNA from 1 species
UUGGUGUGCGAGGAAAGAUAGCAAACCAUA